rnacentral:misc_RNA from 2 species
AAGCACAAAGGGGAGCCGAAGCUCCCCUUUAAUUUUGUCGUUGCGUGCUCUUUUUUUAUUAUUGAGGGGCGGUCUGUUGUUGUUUUUGGCAACCGUUACCCUUUACCGCUGUUUUUGGCGAUCCCCAUCCGGGAUCAAGAGCAAACGUAUUUUUUUGAGCGCUGAUCUAUUUUCUCGCUUGAGCGACCAACCAGUUCGGGAGCUACCUUGGGGUAGUU